rnacentral:rRNA from 1 species
UACGGGAGGCAGCAGUGGGGAAUAUUGCACAAUGGGCGCAAGCCUGAUGCAGCCAUGCCGCGUGUAUGAAGAAGGCCUUCGGGUUGUAAAGUACUUUCAGCGGGGAGGAAGGCGAUGCGGUUAAUAACCGCGUCGAUUGACGUUACCCGCAGAAGAAGCACCGGCUAACUCCGUGCCAGCAGCCGCGGUAAUACGGAGGGUGCAAGCGUUAAUCGGAAUUACUGGGCGUAAAGCGCACGCAGGCGGUCUGUUAAGUCAGAUGUGAAAUCCCCGGGCUUAACCUGGGAACUGCAUUUUGAAACUGGCAGGCUUGAGUCUUGUAGAGGGGGUGAAUUCCAGGUGUAGCGGUGAAAUGCGUAGAGAUCUGGAGGAAUACCGGUGGCGAAGGCGGCCCCUGGGACAAGACUGACGCUCAGGUGCGAAAGCGUGGGGAGCAAACGAGGAUUAGGAUACC